GCCGGGCAUAGUGGCCCGUGCCUGUAAUCCCAGCUACCUGGGAGGCUGAGGCAGGAGAAUCGCUGGAACCCAGGAGGCAGAGGGUGCAGUGAGCCGAGAUCAUGCCACUGCACUCCAGCCUGGGUGACAGAGCGAGACUCUGUCUCAA
rnacentral:SRP_RNA from 1 species